UACAGAGGGGGCAAGCGUUGUUCGGAUUUACUGGGCGUAAAGGGCGCGUAGGCGGCUUGGCAAGUCACUUGUGAAAUCUCCGGGCUUAACUCGGAACGGUCAAGUGAUACUGCCUGAGCUAGAGUGCAGAAGGGGCAAUCGGGAAUUCUUGGUGUAGCGGUGAAAUGCGUAGAUAAUCAAGAGGAACACCAGAGGCGAAGGCGGAUGCUGGGCUGACACUGACGCUGAGGCGCGAAAGCUAGGGUAGCAAACGGG
rnacentral:rRNA from 1 species